AUAGCUACUGUGAGUGUGAAAGAAAUCUUCUAGCUUUUGUUUUUAUAAAAUCAGUAAGAUCACUUUAACACUCAUAGUACAUA
ensembl:miRNA cin-mir-4150 cin-mir-4150